CUUUAAAACUGGAGGUGGUCGAACAUCUGAGGGUAACGCUUGCUCAUUACCGGCCGCAGGACGAUGAAAAGCCUUUACAGCAAGAUUCUUAUCGACACGACCCGUUUCUGGAUUAAUCUCCCACCGUUCCAAAUUAUUUUGAUAUUCUCUUUGUUCACGUUCAUAUUCAGGACACAUAUCGGGGCAAGUACCAACAAACGUUACGGCCUCAUCUAGUUGUCUUGGUUUCGUAGGAUCAUCGAUUAAGCCAUUUUGGAUUGCUACUUCACGUUCCUUCUCACGAAGACUUCUCAAUUCUUCGAACCUGUUUCCUUCUAACGUAGAAGAGAACCGUUUUUGUCGACUGUCCUGUGCUUCCACAUCCUCGAAAACACUAGUAUUAUCUUCGUCGACUGAAGUUUCUCGCGGCGUUGUUUCC